UACGAAGGGGGCUAGCGUUGUUCGGAUUUACUGGGCGUAAAGCGCGUGUAGGCGGGCUGGAAAGUUGGGGGUGAAAUCCUGAAGCUCAACCUCGGAACUGCCUCCAAAACUUCCAGCCUGGACUCAAGCAGAGGCAAGUGGAAUUGCGAGUGUAGAGGUGAAAUUCGUAGAUAUUCGCAGGAACACCAGUGGCGAAGGCGACUUGCUGGUCUUGUAGUGACGCUGAGAAGCGAAAGCGUGGGGAGCAAACAGG
rnacentral:rRNA from 1 species